rnacentral:rRNA from 1 species
AGUGAACGCUGGCGGUAGGCCUAACACAUGCAAGUCGAACGGCAGCACAGUAAGAGCUUGCUCUUACGGGUGGCGAGUGGCGGACGGGUGAGGAAUACAUCGGAAUCUACUUUUUCGUGGGGGAUAACGUAGGGAAACUUACGCUAAUACCGCAUACGCCCUACGGGUGAAAGCAGGGGAUCUUCGGACCUUGCGCGAUUGAAUGAGCCGAUGUCGGAUUAGCUAGUUGGCGGGGUAAAGGCCCACCAAGGCGACGAUCCGUAGCUGGUCUGAGAGGAUGAUCAGCCACACUGGAACUGAGACACGGUCCAGACUCCUACGGGAGGCAGCAGUGGGGAAUAUUGGACAAUGGGCGCAAGCCUGAUCCAGCCAUACCGCGUGGGUGAAGAAGGCCUUCGGGUUGUAAAGCCCUUUUGUUGGGAGAGAAAAGCAGCAGGUUAAUACCCCGCUGUUCUGACGGUACCCAAAGAAUAAGCACCGGCUAACUUCGUG